GACGAACGCUGGCGGCGUGCUUAACACAUGCAAGUCGAACGAGAAUCUAAUGACGGGGUUUUCGGACAACUGAUUUAGAGGACAGUGGCGGACUGGUGAGUAACGCGUGAGGAACCUGCCUUUCAGAGGGGGACAACAGUUGGAAACGACUGCUAAUACCGCAUGAUGUGUGACUGGGACAUCCCGGAUACACCAAAGAUUUAUCGCUGAAAGAUGGCCUCGCGUCUGAUUAGCUAGUUGGUGAGGUAACGGCCCACCAAGGCGACGAUCAGUAGCCGGACUGAGAGGUUGACCGGCCACAUUGGGACUGAGAUACGGCCCAGACUCCUACGGGAGGCAGCAGUGGGGAAUAUUGGGGCAAUGGGCGCAAGCCUGACCCCAGCAACGCCGCGUGAAGGAGAAGGCUUUCGGGUUGUAAACUUCUUUUAAGUGGGAAGAGCAGAAGACGGGUACCACUUUGAAUAAGCCACGGGCUAAACUACGUGCCAG
rnacentral:rRNA from 1 species